AGUGAACGCUGGCGGUAGGCCUAACACAUGCCAGUCGAACGGCAGCACAGUAAGAGCUUGCUCUUACGGGUGGCGAGUGGCGGACGGGUGAGGAAUACAUCGGAAUCUACUUUUUCGUGGGGGAUAACGUAGGGAAACUUACGCUAAUACCGCAUACGACCUACGGGUGAAAGCAGGGGAUCUUCGGACCUUGCGCGAUUGAAUGAGCCGAUGUCGGAUUAGCUAGUUGGCGGGGUAAAGGCCCACCAAGGCGACGAUCCGUAGCUGGUCUGAGAGGAUGAUUAGCCACACUGGAACUGAGACACGGUCCAGACUCCUACGGGAGGGAGCAGUGGGGAAUAUUGGGCAAUGGGCGGAAGCCUGAUCCAGCCAUACCGCGUGGGUGAAGAAGGCCUUCGGGUUGUAAAGCCCUUUUGGUGGGAAAGAAAAGCAGCAGGUUAAUACCCCGCUGUUCUGACGGUACCCAAAGAAUAAGCACCGGCUAACUUCGUG
rnacentral:rRNA from 1 species